CUGGGACACAGAGGGGGCUCCGAGACCGGGAUUGAUUCGGGGUGGUGACCCUGUGUCUUCCUCCAGAAAAACACCUGAGGGACUAAGACACUGUAAUACUUCCUCAGUUUAAAGCAAAGAGUGACCAGCUGCCUCUAACAAACGGAAGGCAAGUACACAAGGACCAAGACAAUGUAAUAUUCCCCCGGUACAGAGCCAAAUGUGACCAGCUGCUUCAAACAAACAGCAGGAUGUGGUAAUCUCUGCCAAGGUGGGAAGUGGAUGCAAUUCCAAAAUGUCCUUGAACCAAUCGACUUGCUCAGCCAGAAGGCAGUGAAGAGUUUGCAAAGGGUUAGGAAUCACGUGCAGAGCACAGCGGGUAAGGAGGUCAGAUUUCACUCCCUUAAGGACCAUCCAGACAGGAACAGGAGAAGGCCAUUCACCUGCUCGAGCCUGCUCAUUCAUUCGUGGCUGAUGUACCAUUCCUCACGCUCACUUUUCUGCACGUAACAUGUUACCCUCAAUUCCCCGACUGAUCAAGAAUCUAUGUAUCUAUUCCAGCCUUAAACCUGCUCCCUGUCCACAUACACAGCUCUGUGUGGCAAGGAAUUCCAACGACACGCAACCCUCUGAGAGAAGAAACUCCUCCUCACCUCAAUCUUCAAUUUUGAACCUGAUGGUUGUUUGUUCCUGACAACAGUCAUCAACUCCAGAUCUGUUUUUGUUUAAAAUCCCAUUCCAAAUCCACGACCUGACACAGCGAGAUUCAAAAUUCACAUCUGCAGGGCAUACCCUGGGGAGCUGAAAACAUAGGAUUUUGCUUCCCCAUUAUUUCAGAAACUGAAAGUGAAUCUCAUCAAAAUUGAGACCGGAAUAAAUUGCCCCACACCAUUGAGCUAAACAUUGAUGUCGACACAAUCCAUACAGUGUGGAAAGAGACCAUUCAGCCCAUCCAGUUUGUCCCAAGCCAGUGAAGAG